GGGUGCGAUCAUACCAACACUAAUGCACUGAAUUCCAUCAGAACUCUGUAGUUAAGUGUGCUUGGGUGAAAGUAGUACUAGGAUGGAUGACCUUCUAGGAUGUCUUUGUGUUGCACCCC
rfam:Macleaya cordata isolate BLH2017 scaffold8929, whole genome shotgun sequence.